AUUGAACGCUGGCGGCGUGCUUAACACAUGCAAGUCGAGCGAGAAAGGUCACUUCGGUGGCUGAGUACAGCGGCGCACGGGUGAGUAACGCGUGGAUGAUCUACCCUAAGGCUCGGGAUAACAGUGGGAAACCGCUGCUAAUACCGGAUACGCUUGGAACCAAAAUUUCAAGGAAAGGCGGCCUAUGCUUGCAAGCUGGCGCCUUAGGAUGAGUCCGCGUCUCAUUAGCUUGAUGGUGGGGUAAUGGCCUACCAUGGCUACGAUGAGUAGCCGGCCUGAGAGGGUGGCCGGCCACACUGGAACUGGAACACGGUCCAGACUCCUACGGGAGGCUG
rnacentral:rRNA from 1 species